GUAUAAGAUAUUGAUUAAUACAAUCUCCUAAGAAAAUUUCAUAUAGGUGAAAACUCUAUAAGAAAAUGGGUGGGUGUUUCAAAUCUUAGAUUGUAUUAAUCAACCUAAAAUUUCAUGCUAUAGCUAGUACUGUUGAAUUGAAUUGAACAUUCAGUUUUGUAAGAAGAGGAAUUUAUCUUGCAAUUGAAUGCUCUAUGUGGAAGGGAAGGGUUUUGCUUAGUAGAAUGACUGGCAUAAAGAUAAAUUCUCUCCCUCAUUUGCCUUUUUUGUUUUAGUUUUUACUUAGUUCAUCGACUAUUCGAUUUCAUCACACUCUUACCUGUUCAAAAUUCACAUAUGCAUGCCUACUAACCUACUCUUGAUGCAGGUAAAGGUACUCACAAGGGGAAUCUGGGAUGCACAGAUAUUCGAAUUGCAUCCCCAAAUAUUAGUUGGGGCUGAUGUAUUGUAUUAUAACAGUGCCUUUGAAGAUCUCUUCAGCAUCGUUGCAUCCAGCCUCAAUAUGAGCAUGGAACACAGCUUCCUGAUCUAGAGUCAAAAGUUUUUUCAACUUGAACCAAUGCAUCCAGUCGUUUAAGAGUUUCAGGCCAUGUGUAUUUGUAUGAAUAGCUAUUGGCCGUGUGGAACCAAAUGCUUGGUAUUGUAUGUGUUGUAUGUGGGUGUAUGUAUUGAUAUUGGCGGUUUGCAUAGUAAAAAUCAGUGUUGUGUUUUUUUAGAUGAAUCUCUGAGCUAUUGUUGUUUAUUGUAGUUGUAUUGAAGGAAAAUGAACGGAUAAUUUAGUCAAUUAAGUUGUUCGUGCUGCUGCUCUCUACUGCUCAUAAAUUUAUUAUUUCCGGACGCUUUUGUUGUUGUAUUUCUUUAGAA